UUGGAGGGCAAGUCUGGUGCCAGCAGCCGCGGUAAUUCCAGCUCCAAUAGCGUAUAUUAAAGUUGUUGCAGUUAAAAAGCUCGUAGUUGAAUUUCGGGGUUAGUAGGUUGGUCAUGCCACUGGUAUGUACUGGUCUCACUGAUUCCUCCUUCCUGAUGAGCCGUAAUGCCAUUAAUGUGGUGUUGCGAGGAAUCUGGACUGUUACUUUGAAAAAAUUAGAGUGUUUAAAGCAAGCUAACGCUUGAAUACAUUAGCAUGGAAUAAUGAAAUAGGACGUUCGAUCCUAUUUUGUUGGUUUCUAGGAUUGACGUAAUGAUUAAUAGGGAUAGUUGGGGGCAUUAGUAUUCAAUUGUCAGAGGUGGAAUUCUUGGAUUUAUUGAAGACUAACUACUGCGAAAGCAUCUGCCAAGGAUGUUUUCAUUAAUCAAGAACGAAAGUUAGGGGAUCGAAGACGAUCAGAUACCGUCGUAGUCUUAACCAUAAACUAUGCCGACUAGGGAUCGGAUGAUGUUAAUUUUUUAAUGACCCAUUCGGCGCCUUACGGGAAACCAAAGUGUUUGGGUUC
rnacentral:rRNA from 1 species